rnacentral:sRNA from 1 species
GCCAGGCAUGGUGGCGCAUGCCUGUAGUUCCAGCUAUUCAGGAGGCUGAGGUGGGAGGAUCACUUGAGCUCAGGAGUUCGAGGCUGCAGUGAGCCAUGAUCACACCACUGUACUCCAGCCUGGGUGAAAGAGUGAGACCCUGUCUCAA